AUGAAGGGGUGGGGUGCCAACCUGGGUCGUGAUCUCCGCGAGCGAAAAAAGGCCUUGCUGACCGCCAUUCAGGCACUUGACCUCCGUGCUGACACGGUCGGCCUCUCCCCUAAUGAGUGGCUCUCUCGGUAUGACCUGAAAGACCAACUCUCCAUCAUCUACACGGACGAGGAAGCUUACUGGCGCUUGCGGGGUUCCCAGAAAUGGGUCCUGAAGGGCGACGCGAACACGGCC
rnacentral:rRNA from 1 species